rnacentral:pre_miRNA from 1 species
AAAAGUGCUUACAGUGCAGGUAGCCUACACACUCUACUGCAAUGCAAGCACUUCUUGC